rnacentral:rRNA from 1 species
UACAGAGGGUGCAAGCGUUAAUCGGAAUUACUGGGCGUAAAGCGUGCGCAGGCGGUUUGUUAAGACAGGUGUGAAAUCCCCGGGCUUAACCUGGGAAUGGCGCUUGUUACUGGCAGGCUAGAGUGUGUCAGAGGGAGGUAGAAUUCCACGUGUAGCAGUGAAAUGCGUAGAGAUGUGGAGGAAUACCGAUGGCGAAGGCAGCCUCCUGGGAUAACACUGACGCUCAUGCACGAAAGCGUGGGGAGCAAACAGG